GACGAACGCUGGCGGCGUGCUUAACACAUGCAAGUCGAGCGGAAAGGCCCUUCGGGGUCCUCGAGCGGCGAACGGGUGAGUAACACGUGAGUAACCUGCCCUAGGCCUUGGGAUAACCCCGGGAAACCGGGGCUAAUACCGGAUAUGACCUGGUGCCGCUUGGUGUUGGGGGGCAAGUUUUUUCGGCCUGGGAUGGGCUCGAGGGCUAUCAGCUUGUUGGGGGGGUGAUGGCCUAACAAGGCGAGGACGGGCAGCCGGCCUGAGAGGGCGACCGGCCACACUGGGACUGAGGGACGGCACAGACUCCUACGCGAGGCAGCAGUGGGGAAUAUUGCACAAUGAGCGGAAGGCUGAUGCAGAGACGCCGUGUGAGGGAAGAAGGCCUUCGGGUUGAAAACCUCUUUCAGCAGGGACGAAGCGUGAGUGACGGUACCUGAAGAAGAAGCGCCGGCCAACUACGUG
rnacentral:rRNA from 1 species